rnacentral:rRNA from 1 species
GACGAACGCUGGCGGCGUGCUUAACACAUGCAAGUCGAACGAGAAUCGUACAAAGGAGGAUUCGUCCAACGGAGUACGAGGACAGUGGCGGACGGGUGAGUAACGCGUGAGUAACCUGCCUUUCAGAGGGGGACAACAGUUGGAAACGACUGCUAAUACCGCAUAACGCAGCGGGGUCGCAUGACCUUGCUGUCAAAGAUUUAUCGCUGAAAGAUGGACUCGCGUCUGAUUAGCUAGUUGGUGAGGUAAAGGCCCACCAAGGCGACGAUCAGUAGCCGGACUGAGAGGUUGACCGGCCACAUUGGGACUGAGAUACGGCCCAGACUCCUACGGGAGGCAGCAGUGGGGAAUAUUGGGCAAUGGGCGCAAGCCUGACCCAGCAACGCCGCGUGAAGGAAGAAGGCUUUCGGGUUGUAAACUUCUUUUGUCAGGGAAGAGUAGAAGACUGUACCUGGCGAAUAAGCCACGGCUAACUACGUG